AUUGAACGCUGGCGGCAUGCCUUACACAUGCAAGUCGAACGGCAUCGCGGGAAAGCUUGCUUUCCUGGCGGCGAGUGGCGCACGGGUGAGUAACACAUCGGAACGUAUCGGCUAGUGGGGGAUAUCACGUCGAAAGACUGGCUAAUACAGCAUACGCUCUCCGGAGGAAAGCAGGGGACCUUUUGGCCUUGCGCUAGCCGGGCGGCCGCUGUCCGAUUAGCUAGUUGGGGGGGUAAAGGCCUACCAAGGCGACGAUCGGUAGCGGGUCUGAGAGGACGAUCCGCCACACUGGGACUGAGACACGGCCCAGACUCCUACGGGAGGCAGCAGUGGGGAAUCUUGGACAAUGGGGGCAAGCCUGAUCCAGCAAUGCCGCGUGGGUGAAGAAGGCCUUCGGGUUGUAAAGCCCUUUCGGCAGGGAAGAAAACGGCGGGGCGAAUAACCCUGCUGGAUGACGGUACCUGCAGAAGAAGCACCGGCUAACUACGUG
rnacentral:rRNA from 1 species